rnacentral:rRNA from 1 species
UGAGUACGAGAUGCUACGGCAUCGAAGCAGUCUAUGUCAUACUUCCAAGAAAAGCUUGCACUGUCAGAAACAGAUAAUGCCUGUACCAUAACCGACACAGGUGGGUAGGUAGAGUAUACUAAGGGGCGCGAGAUAACUCUCUCUAAGGAACUCGGCAAAAUGACUCCGUAACUUCGGGAGAAGGAGUGCCUUAUUCUUAAGGUUGCAAUAACAAGAUCCAAGCAACUGUUUACCAAAAACACAGGUCUCCGCUAAGUCGUAAGACGAUGUAUGGGGGCUGACGCCUGCCCAGUGCCAGAAGGUUAAAGAAGUCGGUUAGCAUCCGCGAAGCUGGUAACUGAAGCCCUGGUGAACGGCGGCCGUAACAAUAACGGCCCUAAGGUAGCGAAAUUCCUUGUCGGGUAAGUUCCGACCCGCACGAAAGGCGUAAUGAUUUGGAUACUGUCUCGGAGAGGGGCUCGGUGAAAUAGACUUGUCUGUGAAGAUGCGGACUACCUGCACCUGGACAGAAAGACCCUAUGAAGCUUUACUGUAACUUGAAAUUGAAAUUGGACUUUAUUUGCGCAGUAUAGGUGGGAGGCGUUGAAAAUAUUCUUGCGGGAAUAUUGGAGCCAUCAGUGAGAUACCACUCUUGUAAUGUUAGAUUUCUAACUUUAUAUCAUUAUCUGGUUAAAGAACAGUUUCAGGCGGGCAGUUUGACUGGGGCGGUCGCCUCCCAAAUGGUAACGGAGGCGCACAAAGGUUUCCUCUGAACGGGUAGAAAUCGUAUCUAGAGUGUAAAGGCAUAAGGAAGCUUGACUGUGAGACCUACAAGUCGAGCAGGGACGAAAGUCGGUCUUAGUGAUCUGACGGUGCUGAGUGGAAAGGCCGUCACUCAACGGAUAAAAGUUACUCUAGGGAUAACAGGCUGAUCUCCCCCAAGAGUUCACAUCGACGGGGAGGUUUGGCACCUCGAUGUCGGCUCAUCGCAUCCUGGGGCGGUAGUACGUCCCAAGGGUUGGGCUGUUCGCCCAUGAAAGCGGUACGCGAGCUGGGUUCAGAACGUCGUGUGACAGUUCGGUCCAUAUCCGGUGUAGGCGUUAGAAUAUUGAGAGGAGCCUUCUUUAGUACGAGAGGACCGAGAAGGACAUACCUCUGGUGUACCAGUUAUCGUGCCAACGGUAAACGCUGGGUAGCUAUGUAUGAGUGGAUAACCGCUGAAAGCAUCUAAGUGGGAAGCCCACCUCAAGAUAAGUAUUCUCAUCACGUAAGUGAAUAAGGUCACGGUAAGACUAACCGUUUGAUAGGCAUUAAGUGUAAAUCUAGUAAUAGGUGAGCUGAGAUGUACUAACAGACCGAAGACUU